GAUGAACGCUAGCGGCAGGCUUAAUACAUGCAAGUCGAGGGGCAGCACAGUGUAGCAAUACAUGGGUGGCGACCGGCAAACGGGUGCGGAACACGUACACAACCUUCCUUUAAGCGGGGGAUAGCCCGGGGAAACCCGGAUUAAUACCCCAUAGUAUAUUAGAGUGGCAUCACUUUGAUAUUAAAGAUUUAUCACUUAAUGAUGGGUGUGCGUCUGAUUAGGUAGUUGGCGGGGUAGAAGCCCACCAAGCCUUCGAUCAGUAGCUGAUGUGAGAGCAUGAUCAGCCACACGGGCACUGAGACACGGGCCCGGACUCCUACGGGAGGCAGCAGUAAGGAAUAUUGGUCAAUGGACGCAAGUCUGAACCAGCCAUGCCGCGUGAAGGAUGAAGGUCCUCUGGAUUUGUAAACUUCUUUUAUCUGGGGCGAAACACACUUUUUCUAGAGUGCUUUGACGGUACCAGAUGAAUAAGCACCGGCUAACUCCGUGCCAGC
rnacentral:rRNA from 1 species